CACUACCUUAACCCGGGUGCCUUUCCUGAAAGUCUCACAAUUUCACUCUCCAUUAUUUAAGCAACCAAAAUCAAAUCUCACUCCUUCUUCUUCCUCAAUGCCUUCGGUGAUCGAAACCCAAAAAUUAAAAAAAAAAGCUUCUUCUCAUUCCAAGGACACCUUUCCCAUGUUGUCAAAAGUGCCAUUGCUCACUGGUCGCAGCCCAGAUUCGAUGUUAGCUAUAAGCCAAAACAAAUAUUGCUUAAUGCUUCUAAAAGGCAAUAUAAAUGGUGGGUUUGAUUUUAUUUUUGAUUUUAUAUUUUGGGUAGGUUGAAUAUUCUGCUGGAGAGGAAGCAGGGUCGCUUGUGCCUGACGUAACACAGCGGGAGGCGUUUUCUUAGUCGUCUGUGAUUUUUUCAUGGGUGGAUAUUGAUCAAUAUAACCUUCAUUUAGAAAGUAGGAGGUAACGUUUCUUUUCAUUAAUAUAGCAAGUAAGUUUUAUUUUUCAAAUAAAUAAUUAUUUUCUUUCAAUUUUUAA